rnacentral:lncRNA from 1 species
CAGCAUCACUUCCAAAAUGGCCGCUUGUGAAUGUCCUUAAUAUAUAGUGACUUUUAUUAAUAUCAAAUUUAUUAUUUAUCUCUUACUUAUUUUAACUCUGUUUUAGGGCAAUUGAGCAUUGAAAUGACAAUAAUAUUGUUUUGUAUUCAUUAUAAUGUGUAUGUUUACGGUGUGUUGCUUUAAUAUUAAUAGCACGUGGAUUGUGUUUUAUUUAAUACCAAAAUGAUCACAUAUUUGUUAUUUGUUUCUACUUCUAUUUUGGUGCAAUUGAAAAUUCAAAUGGCAAUAUUAUUGUUUUGUGUUUGUUGUGUAUAUAUACUGUGUGUUAUUUUAAUAUAAUAGUUUGUGGAUUGUAUUGCUAUUGUAUUGUUGAAAUCUACAAAUUAUUAAUAGCACUGUUUCACUGCUUAGUUAUGAAUGGUUUAUAUUUAUAUAACUUUUGUUUAAUUGGUUUAAUUUAAUAUGUGCAUAGUGUAUUCCAUCACCGGUGACUAUUAUGUAGCAUAACCUUACUUUUUUAUACCAGAUUCAAUAUAAUAAUACUAUAAUAGAUCAAUACAAUAUAAUAAUCUCUUAUUUUAAUCGUGUUUGUCGUUGAUACUCAGUUAAUCUGUCUUGAUUAAUUUCUAACCUAUUUCUAUAUUUAUUGGCUGUUUCUAUUUCUUUUUGAUUAGUUUGUUGUUAUUUCAUACUUGUCAUUUGCUGUUAUUUCAUAUUUGUAUGGUACAAUUUUUGGAGCUAAUCCAUAUAUUAUUAGUUAGAGCUUGUUUAUUGAAUUAUUAUUGUUUAUAGGUUCUCCGAUUCUAUUUUUUCAACGCUGCGUUGCUUGCUUGGAACAUUUACACAGUGCGUCUUUUGCAUCGUCUGGUUUUUCAUUACAUUGUCAACACUUAUUAUGACUACUUUUAUUUAUGUUAGAUCUGUUAUAAUUGUCAAUCUUAAUAUUUAUUACCUUCGGUAUUCUUGUACCUGUAAGUAAAAUGGUCUCCGUUUCUUUUUCAUUGGCAAGUUUGACCAUUGUAUACUAUGUUCUACAAAAAUGGAUCUAUAACCAACCCUGUGGAAUUCCUGCAUAUACAUUUCUUUCUACGAUAAUUAAUUAUGUACAAGCUUCAUUGAUUUAUAAGGUUCUCCUAUCUUCAUUAUUCGAUACUUUAUUUCCGUUACCAAACAUUGUACAACUGAGAAGUUAUCAGAGAAGAGAAUAUACAAAUUUAAAUUCUCACCUUAAAUGUAUGCGGAGUCGAUCGAGUUUUAUUGUACCACUUGGCGGUUAAUCGAACUUCGACAAUUUAUAGAAUGACGGUGUGAGCACUUUAAUUGACAAGAUGGUAACUAACAGUUAAUACUUAUAAAAUUUUUACUAACUUGAUUUCGGUUCGACAGGCGAACUGGCAAAAUGACGGCGUGAACACUUCGAUUUUGAAAUGGUAACUAACUAUUAAUACUUCUAAAACUCGGCUUCGACUGACAGAAUGACAGUGUGAUUACUUUGAUUUUCAAAUGGUAACUACUGUCCUAUGUCAUUACGCUUAUUUAUAUCUUGAAUAAUUGUCAUGUUACAAAUCGUUCCCAUGGGAAUCAUAACGUUGCUAGGUGACAGAAUGUGAAUAUCGUAAUUGCUAGUCUAAGCUGAAGUUUCGUCUUCUUGAUUAUCUUGUUUAUGCCGUUUCUUAAUUUCUCAUAUUCUCUUUUGAUGCUAGUGGAAACAUUCAAGGUGCGUGAUAAGAUGUGGAUAUUGUAACAGUUUAUCUUUUGCUGAAGUUGCGUCUGCGAUGCUUCUGAAACCCUCCAUACCGAGAGCGUAAGAGCGGCAGUGGGCAUCUCAUUGUUCUGUCGAGUCUUCAUACGUGUAGCAUGUAACGUCAAUAAAUAUCUACAACAGGUUCAGGAAACUUGAACCGCCUUCCACACGAUACCAACUUCCAAAACAAAGGAAUAUGAAUUCGACACUUAGGCAUAAGAUAAACGAACAUCUAGAAGGGCUGGGCCUUGAUCGAGGCUUCAGCCUUUGGGUAACGGUCUAAUCGCAAACUUGUAAUCUUAUUAUAGAAUAAAGGUAUCUUGAACUCUGGUUCAAGAACCCAACA